ACGGUCGGUUUCCGGGCGAUCGGGAUUCUCGAUACACGUUUCGAUUGGGCGAUUUGUGUUCCGUAAAAUGACGACGCCGUAACGCGGGCGAAAGGCCGUCGCGACACGGCGGCUCGCGUAAUCCGAAAACGUCGGUUCGCGGUGCUCGCGUCGAAUCGCAUGUACGUAUAGAAUUACUGUCAAUUACCGUUAUUAUCGUUAUUAUUAUUAUCAUCAUUAUUAUCAUUAUCUUUAUUAUUGUUGUUGUUGUUGUUGUUGUACGGAACGGUCGUCCGCGUGUCGCGGCGGCGCGCGCGCCCGUUUCCCCGGGCCGCGGAUUAUGACGAGAGCCCCGGGCCGCGGACGGAGGCGAUCGUUAAACGCGUUUCGAUUUCACGACCGCGUCUCCGUGCCGUUCCGUGUGUAUACGUGCGAACGCAAUACGCCGAGAACGAGACGUCGACUGACGGCGACGACGUCGGCCGGUCCGUUACGAUAACGAUGAUAUUAUUAUUAUUAUUAUUAUUACAGUUAUUAUUGUUAAUGUUAUUACUGUUAUUAUUGUUAAUGUUACUGUUAUUAUUGUUAAUGUUAUGCGGACGCAGAUCGAAAACGCGCGUUCGCCGGACCGGACGGACGACGGACGUCCCGCGUCUACCGGGGGGGGAGGGGGGGGAGUAUACCCGAAAACGCGAGACGAGAAGCCGCGGACGUCUUAAACCCCCUCGGGGUCACGGUGUUGUUACCGUCGCCGUCGUUCUAUUGCCCCGUAAUUAUCGCGUACCGAUAACGCGUAUUGCGUUGCCGUUAUCGCCAUCGCGACUGCUCCGUAUAGGUGCCGUUACAAAGCGACGAGAACGCGCGACUUUGUCACUUUCGAAUCCGGCGACAUUUUCCGAAUCGGUGUAACUUGGCCAGUUUUACCGUCGUCACGAUCCCCGCAUAUAUUAGGGGUUAGGUGGUGUCUAAUAGACAGAUAGGGAGACUAAUUGCUGGCAAUACCGAAAAUUGAUGAUUCCCUUGUUAUUCAUGGUGUCGGAUUUAGGCGCCCGAGUACUGUUAUACGAAUAAUCUAACCCAAAAGCCGAGCAAAACAUUUGUGCCCGUGUACGAUGUGUUGACGACGUGCAACGACUCAGAUAGAAAUUAGACGCGAAACGAGAUUUAAAUGGAUUAUUCAGUUGAUAAUACAUGGAAUGGUUUCCAGGAUAACGAUCGAGAUUUUUGUUAUUUUUCCAUAACAGAAAUGUAUACGUAAUACCGUAACUCGUGAAUACCAACCGCUAUCUGGGGCGAUUGACAAAACGAUACGUACGAUUUAUGAGAUUAUAGCAUUAUGAGUUGGCGGUCACUCGGUUUUUCGGCGGUAAAAAAAAUUUGAUCCGGGCCCCCGAAACGUACGGUCCGACCGUGAAUAACAACAGACCGUCAAUACCGUACGAGUUCUCCGAUAUCUGCGUUCCGUGACGGAAAAACCGCAGUUACCGGAUUCCGACUCUCCUCGUGACGGGUUAAAACAUAUGAAUUCCGUCGCCCGGCAGCGGGCCAUCCGAAUUCCGUCCCGUUGGUAUUUAACUAUUACAAUAUCGUUUUUUUUUUUUUUUUUUAUUCUCACGUUCGGGCCGGCAGUUUUGCCGGGGUACGUUUAAUCGUGUUUUUAUUCGCUUAUUAUCCGGUACGUAAAACAAAUACUAUAAUAUAUAUGUACGUGCAUGCGCAUUCGUUUCACGUUUAUUCCCUUAACUUGUGUAAUUACAAAGUGCGACUUUUCCGUUAGAUUUUCCUUGGCAUUUGUUUCGCUCGCAUCUUUUAUGAGACAUUAAUAAUUAUAAGGCGAGUUUUCCGCUCGUUUUCCCGAUUGUUCUACCGUUUCCAAUUAGUCACAAAAUGCACAUUACACGGUCCGUAUGAACGCAUGCGCGUAUGAAAAUCACGCGCACGACGAGUUUAGGUGCGACGCGCUCUGAAACUACUCGACCGUUUUUCAUAAGACAAUGCUCAAUGUGUGUGUGUGUGUGAUUCGGUCCAACUUAAAAAAUAGGAUAGCUUUCGACGUGAAUCGCGUGAAUUAUAUCGGGAAUUUUCGGGUAUUUAUAAUACGAAUAUCCAAUUGUUUUGUGCGAGUGUAUUUUUUUUUUUUUUACUUUUAAUUAUUCGUCGGUUACCCCGGUGAUGCAGACGAUAAUUUCGGUUGUCGCGAACAAAAAGCCCACUAUCGUCGUUAUUUACACUGUUAUCUAGCAACGGCAAAGCAUUUUCAGGUCAGCCAGUGUGCACGCAUAAAUAAACAGUUAUUUAUUUUCACGUUCUCGCUCUAACAAUAAGCAUGUAAAAAAAAAAAAAAAAACACUUUUAAACAUACGUACCGUCACAGGUGCCGGUUCCAAGCCCGGGAAUAGCACGAAUGGUACUUAUUGUUACCAUACGGUAGGAGGUGAACGGGACGGAAUUCGGAUUACCGUUGUGGCGCCGCGGGGGAAAUACGGGACGGCGUUCGGGUGCAGUCGGUAAUGCCGCUGCGUGUUUCGCGUGCCGUCCGCAAAUAUUCGUUUCGAUUGUUAUGCGCGUCCCCCGAUACGUCACUGGCCGUUUAUCCGCGUAGGUAUCGAGACGACCGAACGCGAGGGCUCGUGAAAAUCCGGACAGACUUCGCCGCGGGCGGGCGGGCCACCGCAGGCGCGAAGUCGGACGUGUGCCGAGGGUGUGAAUCAAUCCGUAGUCGCACGAAAUGUUUCGAUGGUAUUUACGAGGCGCCAACGGAACGCGGAGGGUACCGGUGACGUGUUUAAAAAGGAAAAAAAAACCGUUUUGCGUGCGCGGCGGCUGUACUGCAGUAAUUGUUUUCUAUUCGAUUCCGUAUAGCAGAGAAAUCGCCGUCGCGCGCCUCGGUCCGGUAUCGCACUGGAAUAGUUUUCAAACGACAACGCCAUUAAAAAGAUCACGAGCAAAUAACGAGUACGAGCGGCCACGGCGGCCGUUAACAUGCACACGUCGUUUUACCGCCGGGUGUCUAGAACCCGUUUUCGCCGUUGGAAUACAACAACGGCGAUGAUAAUAUGAUAAUGUGUUAUGAUAUCAAACACGAACGACUUUAAACGCGAUUCUCUCGAAACCGGUAAAAAUGUCACUUACUACCGUUGCGUUCUAUACGGGCGCCUCAAUUACGCAUCGAAAAACGAUUGUUAAUAUUGGCGGCAACAGCUCGGUAAUCCGAAAAAACUAUUGACGGUAUUAUCAGACGUGUUUUUCCCCCCGUGUAGUCGUGUACCCGCGACCCGGACAACGGCGAAUAAUAAAACCCGCGUAUUAUAUCGUGAUUUCGUCGGUCAUAGGUUUUUCUCAAAGUAUAUUCGUUGACGGUAAAAACCGUCGAGACUCUAGAAAACAAAGUGGAAACACUGCCGGGUGGCAGGGAAAUCCGGAUCUUCAAUCAGACACGGCGCGUGUGAAAAACCGUUGCUGAUUUAACGCGGAAAAAAACCAACGAAUUCUCGCUGGAACCGAAGGCGCGACGCGUUCACCGGGCGCGGCGGUUCUUCGUCUCGGAUUUAAACCGACCGAAGUCCGUAAAACUCCCGGGUCAAAUUCACCGCUAGUGGAUUUAAUCGUACGAAUUAUCAGAACGAGCCGUGCAGCCGUACAGUAUGCGUGUAUAUUGUUUGAAAACAAUUCCGGUAUAUUAUUUAUUUUUUGGUUUUUUAUUCGACCGUGGUCGCUGCCGUCAACGCGAAUCUAAUGUGCCUAUAAACUGUGCCUCGUUUUACACCGCGAUUACCGUUCGAGUCACUAAACCGUUUUGCGUUCCGGGCGAUCCAUUACGCAGACGAGGACCGGUCAAAAUACGAGAAAUCGUGCGAAACAAUCGAAACGGCGUACUAAAAAAAAAAAAAAAAAAAACACACACACACAUUUGUAUAUGCAGGUAUAUAUUAUAAAAUCCGACGGACCGAUCGGGUGUUUGCACUCGCGGUUCAUUUCGGCGCGGCGUAUUUUUUUAACGAUACAAUCGUAAUCAUAUUCAUACUCGGAACAAAACGAUUUUUUUUUUUUUUUUUUAUAUUUAUAUUUAUAUUUAUUAUAUUCGACAAUUACGCGCGAGCCCGGCGUUCGGUUCGCGCGCUCGGGACGUAGUACGACGACACAAAAUACGACCGCCCGCGCAAAAUAUCGUUUUCGUUCCGAUACCUUCAAAAUAGGUUUACCCGUCGCCCAUAUCCGCACACGCCCGCGAAAGAUGCGUACGCGACACAUUAUUAUUAUGUUUCGCGAGUAACCAUAGUUGUUCACUAUCCCCGAAAAGCGCUGGCCCGAAAAAAAUAGAAAUUAUUUUUACGUAUAUACAAAAAAAAAUAAAGAACCGCGCAGUUAUUGGUGUCGUGCGAAUUGGGCAUCACACUCGAAACACCUGUACGGUAUUCCCACGGAGUUCGACGAACGGCGAUCGCGUCCGAUUUGUUAUUUUUACUACGCGUUUUCGGGAUUAUUAUUUUAUUUAUUUUUUUUUUAUUUUUACAAAAUUGUAGAACGUACUGUAACAACAACGGAUCGAAUCCAAUUACACGAUCAAAAGUGAACGUAAUACCGGGAAAUGAUGAAAUUAUCAAAACAAAAUACAAACAAAUGUUAAGACCGACAAAAUGUUCAAAUCUGAUUGUUAAACGUUUAUAAUACGGUAUCGGAAAUAUUGGCAAUUUAGUAAUUUCGCACUAUAUCUAGGCAUUAUACAUACCGACUGGUUUCGGGCAAUAUUGAGAAAACGCGUAAUGUAGACAAUUAUUUCAAAUAGAACCUAGGCAUUUUACGUGAUUCCUGGGCAUUUUAUGAAACGCCGAAUUUAUUCUGGAUAAAGGAAAAACCAUGUCUGUAGUUUCACUUAUAAACGUUUCGACUUUUCUCCCGUUACUUACCCGACGUGAUUUUGCACAACAAAUCGAGGGUUGAUUCCAGGUUAAAAUAAGUAAUGUCUAAGAUGCCUUAAAAAAAAUGCUCUAAAAAUUAUUUUAAACAAUGAAAAAAAAAAACAUUUUUUUAUUUUUUUUUUUAGGUAUAUAAAUUUACUUCACACAACGCUCAAUAGUGCAAAUAGUGCAAUACGAUUGCCUUUGUCCGAUUGUCGGAUUCUUUUUUUCGUUUAGGAAGAAAUCAAUAUAAAUUUUAUCAAAUUUUCUGAUAAAAUUAGGAAGUUUUUAAAAAGAAGAAAAAAUAUUUUGAAAAUCUAAAAACGCACAUAAAAUGACAAAAAAUGCAAAAUAAAAGUUUUUAUAUUUUAAUUCUUUGACAUGUGGAAAGAUUUAUGUGCCUGGAAAACAAUUGCAGUUUUAGAAAAUUCAGAAAAAAAAAAAAUGCAAUUUGCAUUAUAAUCCGCACCCUAAUGAUAAGUUAUUUUAAUCUGGAAUCACCAUUCCGUGUAUUAUUUUAUGUUUUUAUAUUGAUAAUACAUAGGUAAGAUACACAAUUCCGUAUCUUUUUUAUUGCCUAAUUUACUGUGGGCGUUGUUCACAACACUUCGCCAUUAUAAUAAUUGUGUAUAUUUCCUGGUGUUUUUUUGCAUUGUUCUUAACUUGGCAUCAUGAAUAUAAUACCGGAUUAUCAACAUUGCCAGGAACGUAUACAAAUUUAGAAUUCUAAUAAAAUUGUUUUUCUUUUAGAUUCUGAGUUAAGCGAAACAUUUUUUAGUUUUACAAAAAUAUUUAUUUUAUUAUUUUUUAUGUGAACAAUUUUUCUACCGGUAAGCUUACUCUGGUAUUGGAGUGUAGUAAUUUUUCUGUAAGGAAAUGUGCUACGGACGGUAUUUUAAAGAGAUUAUUUUUUGAAAUUCUCAUUAAUAUUCGUGAUAAUGCGAAAAACUUGGUUCUUUAGGUUAAAAAAAGAACAAAUGAUUAAAAAUCAGGUUGUCAUCGGAAACUGUUUUUAUUUAUUUUUUGUUGUGAGUUUUUAUUAUUUUAAUCUUUUUCAAACAAUCAUUGUUGUCACGGAAACGCACAUUGUCGUAAUCAUUUUACCCUAAUAUGAAAUAUAUUUAUUGUUGACAAGGCAACACUAUCAACUGAACAUUCCUCGUGUUUAUCGUUACUUACGGAUAUACACGAAAUUCCCGUCUGUAUCCUAACUUCCCAGCUUCCCACCUAUAACAGUGGCAGCACCAACGUGCGAUGGAUGCCCGUCCUUUUUUCCCCUUUAAAUCACCCGAACUCUGUUGAUUUUUUAACCGUGUUUUUAUUUCGCCUAAAAAUAAAUUUAUCGGGAACUGUAAAUAAAAGAUUUGUAAUGCGAAUGAACCGGGUAUUCAAUAUUGAUAUAAUUGAAAAGUGGUUUUAUCCAUACGGUUAUUAUCUCGUUUAGAAUCACGAUACCUUAUAAAUUAUGUUAUUAAAACUUACGAAAAUUGUUUUCACAACACAUAAAUUGCGGUUAUAAUUUUUAGAUUUUCCAACAAACAAAAUUAAAUUUAUGGCGUUCGUGGUUUUUUUUUUUUUUUAAUUUUAAAACGGUUUUAAUAGAGAGCGGAGUGAAAUAUUCGUAAAAAAAACGUAAAACUUUAACAGAAAAUAUAUUUUAUUACGAUAUAAGUGUCACUAAAAUAAAAUUAAAAGACAACUCAGGAAACAGCAGCUAUAUCCAAAACCCUUAUAAGGUUACUAAAAUUUGUUCGACGAAAUGUGUAAUAUUUUCAAACUAUGACUUGAGGAUAAAGUUGGGGAAAAAAUGAAUUCUUUUAAAAUUCAAUUUAAAAUAAGGGAAAAAGUUUCUUUUAUAUUAUACUUAGAAAAAAAAAAAUGGAAAAAAACCAAACUGAUGAAAACCUUACACUAUUAUUGUAUUCGUAUGGUGUAAAAACGUCUCAGCUCAUUUGAAUAACCGGCAAUAAUAAUAAUAAAAAUUAUUGGAAACGGUUUUUUUUUUAAUUUUAUGACAAAUUGUGACAAUAUAUUUGAAGAUUACACAACUAAACAGAUGUACAAAAUAAAUGUGAUACAGUUAAUAGGUUUCCCGUUGUUUUCGAAGGGACGUUGAAACGAUAGAAUACUACAUAUUAGCGGUAUUUAAAUUCUAUAUGUAUGCAACGAUAAAUCAUUGCUAACGGAAUACUAUUCUGAGCGUGAUAUGGUUAAACGUAUUUAAAACGCCACGAGUUUUAUGAUACUAGUUUUAUGAAACUGCGUACUUAAAGUUCUUAUGAAAUAAAAUUUCCAUUAACAUAACGGUAGAAUUUUUUUUUUUUUUUACCGUGUAAAGAAUUUCGAUCUAUGCAUUUUCCAUGUACGGCAAACGUCCUAUGAAGUUUGAAACAAUUUAUUAAUUCAACUAUUCAACUUACGAUUAAUUUAUACCGCUUUUGAUCAGCCAAAACAAUUUUCUCUACAUACGACCAAAUAAAAACUAAUACAAUUCGAUAAACUCAAACGCUUAUAAAAAACAUAAAAAAUCACCCGAUUAUUUUGAAAAUUUUAGGACGUCUAGAAGAAGCUAACCUAAGUAUUCCGUGAAUAUAAAAAAAAAAAAAAAAACAAAAUUAUAUCGAAACUUUUACGAACGUAAAUCUGUCCGUUUUUUCUAUAUGUUCCUCAAUUUAAUAUUAUAAUUGCUCCUCAUGAUAUUUAAAGUGACGUGCAAAAUGUACAAACGAGAUUCGAAAGUCUACGAGAACGGAGCUUAUAUUCAUUUUUUGAUCGGAGCAAGAUUUGCGAUAGGAAAAAUCGUCGAAAUAAAAUACCACCUGUCGAAAUAUACGCACUUUUCAAGGUGUACGAUGAUCGGCGGAGUGUUUUUGAGAAGACGAAAAUCCAAAAGUAAAAUAAACGACCGAUGGGCGACCCGUUGAAAAUUGUUCGGAAGUAUUUCGAAUAAAUUAACACCGGCACCCGAAAAUUCGGCACCUUCAAUAAUCGAAUACGCCGCGAUUAAGUAACGGUCUCCCGUGUCUGUCCGACCGUCGGUAUCGGGUUUUCACUUUGACGUAGCGGUCGUACAAUAUCAUGUGCGUUUUUGUGUCACGAAUACGCGAAGACGACCGAGUCCGAAUUGAAAAAUAAAAAAAUAAUAAUAAUAAUAACGAAAAAACGUCAAUACCGCACACGAAUUCACAAAAUAAAUAAACAUCCGUGAUCUGUUAACAAUCUAUUCGCGAUUUCCGACAGUGUAGCGGUUUCGACGCGAGAUCCGAUCAAUUAUCGACAUCCGUUUUUGUCGAAACGCGCGGUUUCUCGCCGGGGACGCCACGAAAUAUAGGCGUGUACAUUUGCCCGGAAACGUAAAAUAAUACGUUAUUAUAAUGCGAUCCCGGCGAACUCGUAUGCGCACACGUGGGUACUUUCGUUUUUUUCGCGGAUGAAAAUAAUCGAUUCCGCGAGGGAUUCUCGAUUCGGUUUAAAAGCGUUCGUGCGGGACCAUAAUAUUAUACCGUGUGCGAAAAACGUUACGGACGGAACGGUUGUUUUUUUUUUUUUUUCCUUUUCUCUUAACGCCCGCCCGUUUCUUCUCUCGGGUACGCCUAGUUUUGCGAUUUUUUUUUUUUUUAUCAGAUACAUAAACAGUUGUGUACUCGUAAUCGGUUGAUAAUUACCGUUGGUCAAUGAUUUUUUUGUGGUCUGAACGUAAUUAUUCCCGUGCGCGCUGUCGGCGUUUUCGUUUACGACGGCUCCCUAGGAGCACUUCAACGUCGAUUUCGACCGAUCCGACCUGUACGCGCAGCUAUUCGUGCAGGCGUAACAACAAUACCGUCGAAUUUGACUGACCUUACGCACAUUACGUGAAAAUCUUGUUGUCCACCUUAAUUGGCCGCUCGCGUUUGAAACAUUUGUUUUUUUUCUGGAGACCAUAAUUUUCCGGAAUGUAAUCAUCCGGGUUGAUGAACACCCGGAAUUUUAAAAUCCAGAACGUAAUAUUCGGGUCAGCAACUUUCCGGGCGAUAAUAAUCGAAUUCCAGAAAUAUAUUGUAGAAUUCCGGAAUUAUGAUAAAACCAAUGGUUUCUAAAAAUUUCGGAUCCAGAACGUCGUUUCUUAUUUUAAACACUUUUUCUCUCACCGAAUUUCACGACCCAUUUUCCGCAUAAAUAGAAAACCCACACCCUCCUCGAUUAUUUGGUCAGUUCGCGAGUUUUCAAUCGUACCUCAUUUUAUACGCAUAGAAUUAAUUAAGAAACCGUUGAUAUUUUUCUGGAAUAUUACGUUCCGGAGAUUAAUUUCCGGAUUUAAGUAGUUUUUUCGUAUUUUCUAUAGCAUUCGGUCCACCCUAAUGCGUACACUAUAAUACAUUAGAGUAUUUUUACAUUUUUUUCGAUUACGAUAACAUAUUUCGUUCAGAGUUUUCAACACAAUUUGCGCGCCUUGUUUCCAUAUUUAUAUUUCGCCGCCAUUUUAUUAGGAAUUUUCGUACCGCGGUUCUUUUUUUUUUUUCACAUAAAAACCGCGAUGAAAACACGCCUUGCAUAGCGUGUAUCUCGGUUUCGUUUGUCUUUACAUUAUUAAGCGAAAUUUUAAUUAAUGUUUAACGCAAUAAUCAAUAGGCAAUAAAAAGAAAGCGUUUGCGUGUCAGUGUGUUAUCACACGUGGGAGUUUCAGACGGGAUUUUCGGUAUUAUGGUACGAAAAUGUAUUGAAUUUUCGGGAAGGGAUGGGUGAUGGGCGGUUUACCUUGAUGGCGAGGGCGGAAUAAUAAUAAAUGGUGACAGGGGAUAAAUUGAAUUAUUCAUUUCAACUUUUGAAAGAAUUUUUAUGAAAAAAUCUGCUUGAAAUGUUCAAAAAAUAAAAAUUUAGAGGAAUUGAAUUGGCACGGGAAACGACGCACAGAAAGGUUUUCGACGCAGUUAUACGGUUUAUAUUACAUUUAAAAGUUUAAGCCUGCGCGUCCUAUACCUAUUCCGUUUGGUUAAACUCAAUUAAAACAAACGAAAAUUAACAGCGCUUUCGAACACAUCCUCGCCGUUAAUUAUUUAUAAACAUUCAGCUUUCGAUACUUUGGGCCACGUUGUUUUACUUAAACUAAUUUAUGUACCGCACAACUUUCCAGCGUAGUUUUUUGUAUGCGAUCGGUACUUAUACCUAUACCUAUACCCUACCCGGCCAUUAUUUUGUUGUUAAUUCGACUUGUAUUACUUACUAACCGCCCUAACAAGAAUACAGUUACUUACACUCCGAACAAACGAUUCCGUUGAAAGUAUAACCGCAGUCUAAAGUUUCAGCGUCUCAUCAACUCGAGUGUUUUUAUCAUCGCUGCAGUUCUCGGCGCCGUAGAAACCAUUUAUUACAACGUGCCCGGAUUUAAAAUGCACUAAAAUACCCGUCAAAAAAUAGCCAAAAAAUACCAUAAAAAAAUAAUAAAAUAAAAUAACGCUUUUUACCGCAAAAAUGCCUUUAAAAAAUGAACUAAUACAUUUUUUUUAUUUAUCGUUUUUAUUAGGAAGUUUAAAAUGUUUAUUUUAUUGCGAAAAAAAAAAUAUACCCCGAAUAUCUUAAAAACAGUAUAACUUUUAGGGAUGCAUUUUUCAUUCAAUAUAUAUUACGUUAAAUUAUACGUUUAUCUAUUUUACCUUUAAAAUUUUCCUGCUGGCCGAAACAUCAAGAACACUUUUUAACUUUCGAUAACGUUUAGCUAAUGUAAAUUGUCUGAAUAACCGACUCGUAUGAUAAUAUAUACAAGAGAACGCGCAUCAAAUGAAAAGCACCGGCAAACGCUAAACAAAUGCUUUUUGCGUUUAAAGUGUCGGAUGCGCCGUACGAAUACUAUGUACCCGGUAGUCGGAGUUAUCUAUGAAGGUUACCUCGAGUGAAAAAAAGAAAAACGAUUCAUUUUGCAUUGAAAUCCGGCGGGGAGACUGGAUCAUCGGCGUUGUAACCAUUACGACGCCGGUAUUUUUUUAACCGCCGUUUUCGCGAUAAUACGGCGCGCUUUAAAAACGAAUCAAUUUCCCUCCCCCUUCAAAAAAAAAAAAAAAAACCGAGGUUAAAAACUCCGUAAUAAAUCCGGGUAAACGAUGUUGGAACAAUGAACGUACGAGGCCGCGCCGGCCGCUAUCUCCCGUGUCCCGGGUCCCGUAUUUGCGUUGUCCGUAACCCGUAACAAUACGGACCGGACCGAACGACGUCGGGCAAAUGAUACGGUCCCGCAGGGCCGCGACCCGCGAACACGUUCGUUCGCGCACCUGCCAGUACGGAGUCGGACGCCACUGUGCGCGAGCGGGACGCGUACGGUGCCGCCGCCGCCGACGGGUUACGCGCGUGGAGGGACAGGGGGGGAGGACAUAAUUUUUCAAUCCUUCUUCCGGGGUCGAACAUUCAUAAUUCAAAAGCGGCGCGGCGGGGGUAGGUGCGAAUGGGUAGGUAGGGGGGGUUGGGGGGUUGGCCGGGGCGCGGCCGCGAGACGCACCGGGUCGCGUACGUCUCGUUUCGGAUUUAUUAUAUGCGCGGCCCGGCGUACGCGGGCGCCCGGCGCGCGUUGUUACGGGCGAACGUAUUGCCGGACCGGGGGAAACGCAUUUGUUACGCGGCCGCGGUUCCGCGAAGAGUACGUAUAUAUAUAUGUAUAUAUAUGUAUAUAUGUAUAUAUGUAUAUGUAUAUAUAUAUAUACGUAUAUACUUAUAUACGUGUAACGUGACGCGCACGCGCGCGCUACGACAAUAAUAAUGUAUAAGGCGCGCGUAAUAUAUGCGCCGCGGAACGGAAUUAACGGGCUGCCGUCCGGGCGCCACCGAGAACGGGAUAACUAUUGAAAAUUAUUAGUCGCGGCGUACGGCGCGCGCGAUGGGCGAUGGGGGAAGGGGCGAAGCGGCGGCGGCGGCCGGCCGGCCGUAAUAUCCGCCGCGGUCCGCGGGCCGCCUGCGAAACGCGAGCGUUCGGGCGCGUUUGGCGCACGUCGAAUUGUUACCGGCGCCGGGUAAUCGCGCCGACCGACGACCGCGGGGUUUCGCCCCCCCCCCCCCCCCCCCCCCCCCCCCCCCGGCCGCCCCACCACCCCCCUACCCCUCCGUCCCGCCGCGCGCGCGCGAUCCGAGCGACGUUCCGUCGGUGCGCGCGGCACGCGGUUGCCGGUUACCGUUACCGUUCCCGUUACCGCGCGAUCCGAGCGACGUCCCGUCGGUUUUCGUCGGCCGGACGUCAACCGCGGCCGGCGCGGCUAUCGGCCGGCGUUCGGACCCCCGGCCCGAUCGCAUUCUUUUUUCCCGCCUUUUUUUUUAUUUCUUAGCGGGCCGCGUAUGCCGUCGGCGAACCAGUCGGACGAAACGCUUCUGAAGCUCGCCCGGAGACCGAAUAGGUUGUCAAUGAUCAUUUGACGCGGUCGGCGGCUGUGGACCACGGUUACAAUAACGACAAAAACGCGUUGCGAACUAACGGUAUAAAGUACUGCGAGAUUUCGAGUCGUCACAAUACCCGUAACAACGUAACCGUUGUCCGCGCACACCCGGCUCGCAUUUGAAGUCGGAUUUUUGUGAUGGAAACGUAACGAACGAUUAAAUUUUUUUUGUUAAAAGCCCGUGUUUUUAUUACUGAAAACCGUAAACCGACUAUUAAUAUACAUAUUUUCAUACCGACCGCAUUACACCGUCGAAUCCCGUUUUGGGAAAACUUCGGCAACAUCGAUUGAUAACACUAAAAAAGGUUAAAUGAACAUUACGUUCGUUUACCUAUCGUUUUUCUAAUGCUCGUUUUAUUUUUCUUCGCCCGCGCUUUUACCCGUUUUUCGUAUUUUGAUUUUUCCGGGAGUUUUCAAUCUCUAACCGAUAGGACACAAAUCGACGAACGGUCCGUCGCCAAAACGUACGCCGGACGGAACGACAACCGUAAACAGACCGAACAUUAUCGUCGUUCGCCAGUAGCGAAUUUUUUUUUUCCACGACGGACGACGGGUGAACGGCCCGCGGUAAUUCUAAAUCACGUGCGUUCGGUUUCCGUGAAUCUCGACCGUUUUCGCGUCGUAUACUUUCGGGGAGCGUAAGCGACGCUCAGUUCGCCCGUCGUGCAAGUCCGGCCCGGGGACCGGGGUGUUACGAAUGGCGAGUAGUUUGUCGACGCGGAUGCGAAUGCGAAUACACGCCCCGGGAGUGCUAUCACGGCCGGAAUAAUAAUAACAGAUGUCCUGUUUUAAACUGUUCUCGUCGGCCACGGUCAUCUAUGGCACGGCCGACGGUCUUCCGCCGGUCGUACCGUUCGUACCGCCGCUCCGCCGCAAUGUAUUUUACCUGUCCGCGGGGCGUUCGGUCACACGCGCGCGCGGGGAACCGAAAUCGUCCGCCGUUUACGUUGCGCGACGCCGUCGUCGUUCCGAUCGGGGUCGCGCGGUGUUAUUUUUCCACUCUAAUUUUCGACACCCGUUUUCAACACUCGAUUGAGAUUGUUUGCCCGGGGUUUCGGGUUAUUAAGCGCAUUGUAAAUUUGUCUUCGUGUAACUUUGACACCUAUUUUCAACUCCCCGGGGGGUUACGGUUCUGACAUCGGCCAAAAACGCGUUCGACUGUUCACCGGUAAAUUCCCCGCACGCACACAAACACACAGUUUUGGGUUAUUAAACUUUCAAACAUAAUGUAUUUUAACUCCUGUUAAACCUCUUAAUAGUGGACUUUCGAAAAAGGACUUUUCUUACGGCGGUCCCCUGUACAAGUCGUAUAAGAAACCGCUGUGCGAAAUUUCGAGUUUCUACACCCAGCCGUUCGUAUUGUAAACAAACUUCGACACCAUUUUUGCGCCGCUUGGGGGUUGAAUUUUGAAAAAUCCUCUCGUUACGAUUGUCUAAAUUGUAUAAGGGACCGCGUUCGCGCAAAACGUUCAAAUUUCUAGACACGGUGGUCCAGGUUGUACGCUAAAGUGUCGGUCGGUCAAUUUUUUCAUUCGCACACAAUACUAAGACGUGUCCCAACUCAUUUUGAAACGAACCCGCAACCAGUUUAUUAUAAUUACCAUUUUUACAAAUCUUAAAACGCGGUGUAUUGAUCAGCUAUUGAAAAACAGUAAUGCAUUAAAAUGUUUUAAAUUUCCGAGACAAUUUACAAUUACUGAAACCUGAAAUCAACAAAUAAUAAAAAAAUUGAUAACGGCGCCUGGUUUUUCCAUUUUCCUACAGUUAGUACUUAUGUUUGCCUUUUCCGCGUGCAUAUUAAAAAUGGUACAAAUUAUAUUUUGUUCCUGAUUUUGAAAAUGCUCGCCUCGCCACUUACAACACGGGCUCACGGUUUUGUCACCAACAAUUCUUCCUCUUCUGCUUCCGGACUUUAUUACUUUCCAAGAGUUUUCGCGCCCAUCGCCGAAUCGUCUCAACUAUCAUUAUCCUGCAGUAUACUAUUUACAGCCGAUUCCGCACUCCCGGGAGUUUUCCAAAUCUUUUUUUAUCCCUUAAAUAACAUUACAGUACCCGACGUAGUAUAAAAUGUGGACAUUUUUCAAAAAAAAAAAAUAAUACCGUAUAAUAUUUGCUCGUAGACAUUUCAAACCAUAAUAAUAUAGUUCAAAGGAAUAAUAUUCUCAAUGGUUUUUAAUAUUUUUUUUUUUUUACGUGUACAUUGCAAUUUUCGUACUUGCAAUAAAAAAAAAAAAAAUACAUUAAUAACACAUAGUGAAUGCAUUUCAUUAACAUUAUCCUACAGUCAUCGAAGCGUGUCCGUAUUUUAAAUCCAAGUUGAAUAUUAGUAAUUUAUUU